CAAUUAUCAAAAAAGAAACACUUCCCAGUGGGAAUAUCCAUUCUUUAUAAGCAGAGUUUGUGAGUGGAAGCAUGCCCAACCCCACCAUCCAAAGUUCUGGUUUGGAAGAAACUCAUGACACCGUAUCUGGCCUUUCAACUCAAUCUGAGGUUGAAGCUUGAGGAUAAGGCACCAACAUACUACGUUGCGCUGUACAAUUGCUUGACUAACAAACAAGUAGUUACAAGCAGACAAAUUGGACAUACAAGAAUAGAAGGUCGUGAUAAUGAGGACAUGAUGCCAAAGACAAUGCUAUGCCGUAG